rnacentral:rRNA from 1 species
GACGAACGCUGGCGGCGUGCUUAACACAUGCAAGUCGAACGGAAAGGCCCUUCGGGGUCCUCGAGUGGCGAACGGGUGAGUAACACGUGGGUGAUCUGCCCUGCACUUUGGGAUAAGCCUGGGAAACUGGGUCUAAUACCGAAUAGGACCACGCGCUUCAUGGUGUGUGGUGGCAAGCUUUUGCGGUGUGGGAUGGGCCCGCGGCCUAUCAGCUUGUUGGUGGGGUAAUGGCCUACCAAGGCGACGACGGGUAGCCGGCCUGAGAGGGUGACCGGCCACACUGGGACUGAGAUACGGCCCAGACUCCUACGGGAGGCAGCAGUGGGGAAUAUUGCACAAUGGGCGCAAGCCUGAUGCAGCGACGCCGCGUGAGGGAUGACGGCCUUCGGGUUGUAAACCUCUUUCACCAGGGACGAAGCGUAAGUGACGGUACCUGGAGAAGAAGCACCGGCCAACUACGUG